CCUCCACUUUUCCUUUGACUACCUCGUUCCACCACCAAUCACCCUGAUGUCUGCCUGAAUAUCCCUUAGCUACCCCGAGCACGUCCCGUGCUACCCCCGUAACCAAGUUUGCCGUCACUAUCCACAUAGCAUGCGCUUCCCCAUAACUUCUCCAAGCUCCGCCCUCCGCUAACCUCCUUUCCAACUCCUGUGCUUUCUCCUUAGACAAAGCUCACCAUCUAAUCCGCGGUUGACCCCGGGCGCCCCUCCUCUUCUUCUUCACCCAGAGAUCGACA
rnacentral:lncRNA from 1 species